rnacentral:rRNA from 1 species
CAGCCGCCGCGGGAAUACGAAGGGUGCAAGCGUUAAUCGGAAUUACUGGGCGUAAAGCGUGCGUAGGCGGUGAGUUAAGUCUGCUGUGAAAUCCCCGGGCUCAGCCUGGGAAUGGCAGUGGAUACUGGCUCGCUAGAGUGUGUCAGAGGAUGGUGGAAUUCCCGGUGUAGCGGUGAAAUGCGUAGAGAUCGGGAGGAACAUCAGUGGCGAAGGCGACUAUCUGGGCCAACACUGACACUUAGGCACGAAAGCGUGGGGAGCAAACAGGAUUAGAUACCCCGGUAGUCCCUGUCUCUUAUAC